rnacentral:misc_RNA from 1 species
AACUUUAAUUCCUAACUUUAUGAACUUCAAUUGUGAAAACAAGGAAAUGACGGGUCGUUCCUUAUCGCAUGAUCGAAAUUCUGUUCAAUCCCAUGCUUCUAGUAAUUCGCUUCGAAGUGGUAGAAAUGCUUUGUGUUUGUUAGUGCGGAGAGAGAUUUGUCCCAAGACAAAGCAUGUACCCAAAAGGCAGUGGGGAGAAACUUCUCGAUGGAAUGCUAAUUCUUCGUCUUUGCCCAAAAGCGAACCGGCAAGAGAUGCAAAACGUGGUCUUAUUUCAUGGGUUGAGGCUGAAUCAUUGCAGCAUUUAUCUGCCAAGUAUUGCCCCCUAGUGCCUCCUCCAAGGUCAACUAUUGCAGCAGCAUUUAGUCCUGAUGGGAG